AUGGAAGGUAGCAUAUGCAAAAGAGAUUUGCAGAGGAGGGUUUUGAGAGAGGCUUCUUUGCCUAAGGAAGUUGUUGAUCACUUGUCGUAUUAUUUAUCAGGAGGAAACAAAGUUGAAAUGCCAUUCAGCCGAAAGGACCGUGAAAAAUCACAAGUGGAAAGGACUGUUGAAUUUAAGGAGGUAAAUAUUGGAUCCACUGCAUUUAGAGAAUUUACUGAUGACCAGGUGAAGGAUGAAUACUGGGCUGCAAGGGUUGCAGGUUCGAUGAUGGAGGAAGAAGCCUGA